CAUUCAUAUCAUAUGAGCUAUUUGAUUGUUGCUGCAUUUGAAGAGAAGUGACAAUAAUGUUGUUUGUUCUCUCUUGGGUUGAUGAAACUGUUGAAGUGGAUGAUGGGACGUGACUUGCCGACCUGCCUGGAUGUCAAGGAUGAAAAGGGGCGGAGCCAGGCCUGGGUGCAGAGAGUCGGUAUAUGAGGUUACUGUGCAUUAUUGGAUGAUGGGACGUGACACUGAUCUUCACCUGGACGUCUUGAUGGACCGUCCCCUGCUUCCCGUCUGUGCAGUAGAGGGGAGGUGACAUUAUCCAGCUAAACGAAUCUCAUUUGUCUGGAUCCCUGCAACAAAUAUGAAGUGGAUGAUGGGACGUGACUCGCCGACCUGCCUGGACGGUGUCAUCGAGGACGAAAAGCUUCUGGACAAAGGGGCGGAGCCUUUACAUGAGGUGGAUGAUGGGACGUGACACUGACCUUCACCUGGACUGUCUCCUGCUUCCUGCCUGUGCUUAUUCUGUAAAAAGUAGAGGAAGUGACGAAUCCCAUUUGUCUGUGAUCAUCAGGUGUUGGUGUGGAUCCCUGCAAGAACUAUUAAGGAUGAGAAGCUCCUGAACAAGGAGCAAGAGAGGAUCUGGACAAAGGGAUGUUUGGUUUCUUUAUUUAACAUGUUGAUGAUUCAUGGAUAUAGAUGAUUGAGACCAAACAAUAAAACAUUGCAAAGAUACGAAUGAUGAUUACCACCGUUAAUAUCCUAAGAUCCAGUGUGUUGUAUGAACAAAAAGGCAAAGAAGCUUGUUAAGAAAAUGUCAUUAACAUAAAAUCAAUAACAGAUCAUUUCUGCUCAUUGUAGUUUAAAUGAUGUCAGUCGGUGUGUUGGUUGGUCUGUAGGUGGGGGAGUCGGUGUGUUUCCGUCGGAGUUCAUGUGGUUGUUGGUUGGUGAGUCUGUCGAUCGUUUAUCUAUCGUUCAGUUGGUGGUCGGUGUGUAGGUGGGCGAGUCUGUCGGUUGAUGCGUCGUCAUGUUGGGCAAUCUGUUUAUCUGUCGGAGUUGCUGUAGUUGGUGGACUGGAGGUUUGUCCUCCUGCAGUUAAACAUCACACUGACAAAGAUGAAACUCAAUCAUAGAACAUAAAUAAAGUCCAGUCUGGUUGAGCUACAGUCUCACAGUGGAUGUAAGGAUAUUAACGGUGUAGAUAAACAUUCAUAUCAUAUGAGCUAUUUGAUUGUUGCUGCAUUUGAACAGAAGUGACAAUAAUGUUGUUUGUUCUCUCUUGGUUUGAUGAAACGUGAUUCGCCGACCUGCCUGGACGGUGUCAUCGAGGUAAACGAAUCCCAUUUGACUCUGUGAUCGUCAGGUGUUGAUGUGGAUCACUGCAAGAAAUGUUCAGGAUGAAAAGGUCCCGUAGUGGAGCAAGAGAGGCUCUGGACAAAGGGCCGGAGCCAGGUGGAUGAUGGGACGUGACACUGAUCUUCACCUGGACGUCUUCAUGGACCGUCCCCUGCUUCCCAUCUGUGCAGUAGAGGGGAGGUGACAUUAUCCAACUAAACGAAUCCCAUUUGUUUGGAUCCCUGCAAGAAAUAUUAAGCAGGAUGAGAGGAUCUGGACAAAGGGGCGGAGUCACUACAUCACUUCCUAGAUGUUAGACAUGAGGUGUUGAUGUGGAUCCCCGCUCAAGAAGAGAAGUGAUGAGGAGCUCCUGGACAAAGGGAUGUUUGUUUUUUUUAACAUUUUGAGAUGCCGACCUGCUUCCUGUCAUCUUACCAGAGUAAAGAACAGGAAGUGACAUGGAUCCCUGCAAGAAAUGAUGAAAAGGUCCCGUAGUGGAGCAAGAGUCGGUACAUGAGUUUUUUCUCUCUUCCACUGACGAUGGGAUGUAACACGGACUCAGAUGCUGAUGUGCUUCUUGUCAUGGAUCCCUGCAAGAAAAAUUCUGGGGCUGAUUGAACGUGAUGUCAUGGAGGUAAAGGAGUUACAUUUUUAUGUAAGAAAGUACGAUAUAGAGUUAUGGUGUUAAAUGUUUGUCUUGGUUUUUUUAACAUGACGAUUUACGGAAUAAUUCAAGGAUCCAAAUAAUAAAAUUUUUGAAAGUUGAAUACAUCAAUCUGUAGUUUGUAAAGACACGAAUGAUCAUCAUCACCGUGUUGUAUGGACAAAGUAGCUGGUUAAGAAAACAUUAUUCUUAAAAUAAGAACGACAUCAGUCGGUGUAUCGGAGUUCCGUCCUCAUGUGGUUGAGCUCCAGUCACACAGAAAUGGAUUCUGCACUUUAAGAAUCCCAUUUGUCUCUGAUAGUUUGCAGGAUGAAAAGCUCCUGAACGAGACUGUCCAUACAACGCACUGAAUGUUGCUCAUCGACCAAGACCAUUCAAACUAGAAUGGUCUGUUAGACAUUCCAGUAUGUGACCUACUAGGGUGAAUGUUUUCUGCAUUCUAAUAUGAAUAGUUUGUUGUUAGUUCCUGGACGGUUGGAUGUGUCCCCUGGAAGAAAUGGUGAGUUAAAGAAUGUAAUCGUAACCAGUUUGUAUGAGAAUGACGAUACACAGUAAUUUGUCUUUUUGUCAACAGGACGAGAGGAUCUGGUCAAAGGAAUGUUUGGUUUCUUUAACAUGUUGAUGAUUCAUGGAUAUAGAUGAUUGAGACCAAACAAUAAAACAUUGCAAAGAUACGAAUGAUGAUUACCACCGUUAAUAUCCUAAGAUCCAGUGUGUUGUAUGAACAAAAAGUUAAAGUAGGUUGUUAAGAAAAUGUCAUUAACAUAAAAUCAAUAACAUGUCAUUUCUGUUCAUUGUAGUUUAAAUGAUGUCAGUCGGUGUGUUGGUUGGUCUGUAGGUGGUUGUUGGUCGAGUCGUCGUGUUGGUCAAUCAGUUUUUCUGUCGGUGUUGUUGGAGUUGGUGGACUGGAGGUUUGUCCUCCUGCAGUUAAACCAGCACACUGACACAGAUUUAGUGAGUUGGAUGAAAGAAACAAAUGUGAGUCCAGUCUGGUUGAGCAACAGUCCCACAAUGGAUGUAAGGAUAUUAACGGUGUAGAUAAACAUUCAUAUCAUAUGAGCUAUUUGAUUGUUGCUGCAUUUGAACAGAAGUGACAAUAAUGUUGUUUUUUCUCUCUUGGUUUGAUGAAACUGUCGAAGUGGAUGAUGGGACGUGACUCGCCGACCUGCCUGGACGGUGUCAUCGAGGAUGAAAAGCAUCUGGACAAAGGGGCGGAGCCAGGGCUGGCUUGCGGUGGCUGCAGAGUAUAUGUAGGUUUACUAAGAAGAAUUUGAGAUCUGUCACGUGUCAAUAACUCGUCUUUUUCUCAUCCUUUGAAAGUGAAGUGAAUGGUGGGAGACUGGUCUUAACGGAUUGUCCCCUGCAAGAAAUAUGAAGAGUAAAAAACAGGAAUCCCUGCAAGAAGUAUUCAGAUGAAAAAGCAGGACGACAAGGUCCUGAAGUGUAGCAAGAGCGGAUUGUUGAUGCUGACCUGCAAGAAAUAUUCAGGUGGCACAUUGAUGUUUACCUACUGCUGAUCCAACCAGAGAUGAUAUGGAUGGUUUGGGCAAAUCCAGUUAGUUGUAUUACUACAAUGGUGUUAACUACUGGAGGAAGUCUGCAAGAAUGGUGGACAAGCCCCAGAACAUGUGGAUGAAUGAGAGAACAAUAAAGGUUUUUGAAAGAAUUGGUUAUUGUGGUCUUUGGAGGUAACAGAAGAAGAAGAAGAAGAAGAAGAAGAAGAAGAAGAAGAAGAAGAAGAA